CUUGGGCUGAAUAUGGAAUGUUCUAUGAUAGGGCGUGCUAUUUUAGAUGAACAAAGACUACAAGAUGGACCACUAUACGCCAGCCUUUAAUAUUUUACAAGGCCAUCUCCAAGCCUCCAGAUAUAACCCAUUCUAUCAUGCCUCCUCCAUCAACAGUAGAGGUGAUUUCAUGUUGUGGAGUUAUUGUCUUGGGAUAUUACAUUGUUCUUCAUGUCGACAUGAUUAUGCUGCAAUUCAUUGAGAAAUUUGUGUCAUCCCUAUUGAAGCAUGCUAGGUUUGCAAAUCGACAUGUAGUGAACCGAGGUUAGAUUUCUCUAGUUAUAAUUUUUGUUAUUAUAAGUGAGUAUAGUACAUUGAGGGAUUUGCAAAUUAGUUUAUGGUGGAUGCUCAAUUGAAUGUUGGUCUAGGUUGCAAAUUCUUAUUAUUUAUCUAGGUCUUCAUAUUGCUAUGAAAGAAUGGGAUGCCUCUUCAUCUGUAGACCCCUAAUUUUUGUUCCCUGAAUAACAUAUACAUUUGAGGCAGUGAGAGGCUCAGUGAUGAAAGCUUCAUAGGCCUAAAGAAUGCUGCAAAUGUUGAAAGAAAUAAAAUCUAAUGUUCUACAUGAUUAAAACAAAAGUUAAAUAGGUUUAUUGAAAAAUAUAAAAAAAAUAAAAUAAUAAAAUAGGUUAAAGAAUGUUGUAGGGCUUGUAAACAAAGGCAUGAACCUCUUGUGCUUCAAUUGGACCCAACCUGGUGCUGCAUGGAACCAAAGCUGGCCUAGGGAGUAAGGCCUAUUAAAUCCUUUCUCCAAGCCCAAUGGUGUCUAAGAUAGAGGAGAGAAUGAAUUUAAUCUUCCUUUUACACUUAAGGGAAA
rnacentral:misc_RNA from 1 species